rnacentral:pre_miRNA from 1 species
AAUAAGCGCAGUUGUGGGUUUCAGUACCCAACUUUGACCAUCCGUCUUAUUUAAAAUAUUUUUAUUAGUAUUUUUAUUAUUAUUAGAUGAUAAAAUAUGAAUAGUACUUUAUGCAUGACUUAACUUUUUAAAUUUUUUCAUAAUUUUUUUAAAUAAGACGGACGGUCAAACGUUGGGCACGGAAACUUAUAGCUGCACUUAUA